AAUCAUCACCAUCCUCGAUUCCUCUCCACCGCGCUUUCCGCCAGCGCGAUGACUCUGCGCGCAUCCUCCUCCUCGCUCACGCGCCCCCUUGUCUCUCUCGCGUCGUGAUUCUCUCCCCUGCCCCUCGCCCGUCGCCGCCGUGUUUCUCGCCCCUACCCAUCGCCCAUCACCGCCAACCCCAAUCCCCAAACCCUACACCGCUGUCGGCACUGCGCAUCCCCAUCCCCUCGCGCGGCGCGAUAUCCGCCCAAACCCCCGUUGCCGCCUCCGCUCCGAUCCCCAUCUCGCGAGUCGCGAGCAGAGCAGGAGAGGAGAGGGGCGCCGUCGUUGCCCACAUCGUUGCCUUUGCUCCGAUCUCAUGAACAGAGCAGACGAGGGGAGGGGCGCCGUCGUCCUGCUGCAUCCCAUAACCUCGGACGACGACAUCGACCAACUCAAGUGGCGGCGGUGGCCUCCAAGGGGCCUAUGCAGAGAUUGAGUGUUGUGUUGUGUUGGGCACAGUCAUGGCCACUGCAGCCAUCUCUUCCAUCCUCGCCGUUAGGACUGAUUUCAAGCUAUCUCGAACCAAAUCAUCUCUGGAUUAAGAUGAUCUUUGUAAUGUACAAGUCUCUCAAUAUGUUCAGUGUUAGCUAUAACACUAAUUGGCUAAAACAAUAAUUAUCCGGACUCUAAACGAAGUGUUGUGUCCAUGGCUUGAGGUUGACGUUACAAUUUUUUUCCAGACUGAGUUGGGUAUUUGGUUUCAACAUAGUUCUGAUUUAAUUGACUCAAGAUUUUAGAAAUGGCAUCUUGGGUGUUAGUAAAGAGUCAAGUGGCUGAAACGGUGGCCAUGGCUGUUAUUGGUGGCGUUUUAAGGUAAAUUUUGGGUAUUAUGGUCAUGGCCUCGCGCUGGCCGAUCAGCAUACAGAGGUGGGGAAAGAGAGCUAUGGCUAUGGGCCAUGGGCCUAUGGCAAUGGCAGCGGCGCUGCUUCUCAUGUUGUCCCUAGCGAGGCGGUCAUCAUCUCUUUUGUAUCUCCUUGCAUAUGUGAAGGAGAAGACGGCAAUUGGUUAAGAUCAGGCCAUUCUGCUUGAAUACUCAGAUGUCAUUGCAAUCGAUUAAGUUCGUUGUCCUGUGUGUUCUCCUUCUAAGAUACAGAAGAUUUAUUCAGGAGAGCAACUGAACUCUGAUCUUUUCUUCAAGCAUGAAUGCUUAUCAAUUAUUGUGAUUAAAAUGGUUCCAUCAACUUAAUUGAUUCUGAAUUGGACU